AUCGAACGCUGGCGGCAGGCCUAACACAUGCAAGUCGAGCGAGCGGCGGACGGGUGAGUAAUGUCUGGGAAACCGCCUGAUGGAGGGGGAUAACUACUGGAAACGGUAGCUAAUACCGCAUAUCAUCUGAUGUGCCCAGAUGGGAUUAGCUGGUUGGUGGGGUAACGGCUAACCUGGGGGACGAUCCCUCGCUGGUCUGCGAGGAUGACCAGCAACACUGGAACGGGGACACGGUCCAGACUCCUACGGGAGGCAGCAGUGGGGAAUAUUGGACAAUGGGCGCAAGCCUGAUGCAGCCAUGCCGCGUGUGUGAAGAAGGCCUUCGGGUUGUAAAGCACGUUCAGCGGGGAGGCGUUACCCACAGAAGAAGCACCGGCUAACUCCGUGCCAGCCGCCGCGGUAAUAC
rnacentral:rRNA from 1 species